rnacentral:rRNA from 1 species
CAUGUAGGCGGCCCUGCAAGCUUGGUGUGAAAUCCACAGGCUCAACCUGUGGACUGCAUUGAGAACUACAGGGCUUGAGUCGCUGAGGCGAAACUGGAAUUCCAGGUGUAGGGGUGAAAUCUGCAGAUAUCUGGAAGAACACCAAUGGCGAAGGCAAGUUUCGGGCAGAUGACUGACGCUGAGGUGCGAAGGUGCGGGGAGCAAACA